CUAGUACUCCCUCCGUCCCAAAAUUCUUGUCUUAGAUUUAUCUAGAUACGGAUGUAUCUAACACUAAAAUGUGAAUAGAUACAUCCGUAUGUAGACAAAUCUAAGACAAUAAUUUUGGAACGGAGGGAGUAUCUG
rnacentral:pre_miRNA from 1 species